rnacentral:rRNA from 1 species
AGUGUACGCUGGCGGUAGGCCUAACACAUGCAAGUCGAACGGCAGCACAGUAAGAGCUUGCUCUUACGGGUGGCGAGUGGCGGACGGGUGAGGAAUACAUCGGAAUCUACUUUUUCGUGGGGGAUAACGUAGGGAAACUUACGCUAAUACCGCAUACGACCUACGGGUGAAAGCAGGGGAUCUUCGGACCUUGCGCGAUUGAAUGGGCCGAUGUCGGAUUAGCUAGUUGGCGGGGUAAAGGCCCACCAAGGCGACGAUCCGUAGCUGGUCUGAGAGGAUGAUCAGCCACACUGGAACUGAGACACGGUCCAGACUCCUACGGGAGGCAGCAGUGGGGAAUAUUGGACAAUGGGCGCAAGCCUGAUCCAGCCAUACCGCGUGGGUGAAGAAGGCCUUCGGGUUGUAAAGCCCUUUUGUUGGGAAAGAAAAGCAGCAGGUUAAUACCCCGCUGUUCUGACGGUACCCAAAGAAUAAGCACCGGCUAACUUCGUG